rnacentral:rRNA from 1 species
AUUGAACGCUGGCGGCAUGCCUUACACAUGCCAGUCGAACGGUAACGGGCCUUCGGGUGCCGACGAGUGGCGCACGGGUGCGUAAUACAUCGGAACGUGCCCGAUCGUGGGGGAUAACGAGGCGAAAGCUUUGCUAAUACCGCAUACGAUCUACGGCUGAAAGCAGGGGACCGCAAGGCCUUGCGCGGACGGAGCGGCCGAUGGCAGAUUAGGUAGUUGGUGGGAUAAAAGCUUACCAAGCCGACGAUCUGUAGCUGGUCUGAGAGGAUGAUCAGCCACACUGGGACUGAGACACGGCCCAGACUCCUACGGGAGGCAGCAGUGGGGAAUUUUGGACAAUGGGCGCAAGCCUGAUCCAGCCAUGCCGCGUGCAGGAUGAAGGCCUUCGGGUUGUAAACUGCUUUUGUACGGAACGAAAAGCCUUCUUUUAAUACAGGAGGGUCAUGACGGUACCGUAAGAAUAAGCACCGGCUAACUACGUG